CUUGUAUCUCACUGGGUUGAUGGGUUGUGUUGAGGGCUUCUAUUCUGUUUCUUGCUUAUUUUGAAGUAAUUUAUUUUUUUAUGCAUUUCUUUAAUGGUGCAGUGUUAACGCAUUGUUUGUUUAUUGGAGAAGGGGUGUAUAGAUGGGCAAAAUGAGCAGAGGCAGGUUGCUGUAGUAACGGAGACUCUGGUGGGGCUGAGGAGGUGAGUACAGGGUCUGUGGGGAACGGUAAGCAUGCUGGUGGGGCUGAGGAGGUGAGGACAGGGUCUGUGGGGAACGGUAAGCAUGCUGGUGGGGCUGAGGAGGUGAGUACAGGGUCUGUGGGGAACGGUAAGCAUGCUGGUGGGGCUGAGGAGGUGAGUACAGGGUCUGUGGGGAACGGUAAGCAUGCUGGUGGGGCUGAGGAGGUGAGUACAGGGUCUGUGGGGAACGGUAAGCAUGCUGGUGGGGCUGAGGAGGUGAGGACAGGGUCUGUGGGGAACGGUAAGCAUGCUGGUGGGGCUGAGGAGGUGAGUACAGGGUCUGUGGGGAACGGUAAGCAUGCUGGUGGGGCUGAGGAGGUGAGUACAGGGUCUGUGGGGAACGGUAAGCAUGCUGGUGGGGCUGAGGAGGUGAGGACAGGGUCUGUGGGGAACGGUAAGCAUGCUGGUGGGGCUGAGGAGGUGAGUACAGGGUCUGUGGGGAACGGUAAGCAUGCUGGUGGGGCUGAGGAGGUGAGUACAGGGUCUGUGGGGAACGGUAAGCAUGCUGGUGGGGCUGAGGAGGUGAGGACAGGGUCUGUGGGGAACGGUAAGCAUGCUGGUGGGGCUGAGGAGGUGAGUACAGGGUCUGUGGGGAACGGUAAGCAUGCUGGUGGGGCUGAGGAGGUGAGGACAGGGUCUGUGGGGAACGGUAAGCAUGCUGGUGGGGCUGAGGUGAGUACAGGGUCUGUGGGGAACGGUAAGCAUGCUGGUGGGGCUGAGGAGGUGAGGACAGGGUCUGUGGGGAACGGUAAGCAUGCUGGUGGGGCUGAGGAGGUGAGUACAGGGUCUGUGGGGAACGGUAAGCAUGCUGGUGGGGCUGAGGAGGUGAGGACAGGGUCUGUGGGGAACGGUAAGCAUGCUGGUGGGGUUGAGGAGGUGAGGACAGGGUCUGUGGGGAACGGUAAGCAUGCUGGUGGGGCUGAGGAGGUGAGGACAGGGUCUGUGGGGAACGGUAAGCAUGCUGGUGGGGCUGAGGAGGUGAGUACAGGGUCUGUGGGGAACGGUAAGCAUGCUGAGGAG